rnacentral:misc_RNA from 1 species
AACGCACCUUGCGCUCCUUGGUAUUCCGAGGAGCAUGCCUGUUUGAGUGUCAUUAAUAUAUCAACCUCUUCAAAUUUGUUUGUCGAGUGUUGGAUGUGGGGGGUAUUUUUUUUGCUGGUCUCUCUUUGAGGUCAGCUCCCCUAAAAUAUAUUAGCGGGACAAUUUGUUGACCGUUCAUUGGUGUGAUAACUAUCUACGCUAUUGACGUGAGGCAGGUUCAGCUUCUAACAGUCCAUUGACUUGGACAAAUCUUUCAUUAAUGUGACCUCAAAUCAGGUAGGACUACCCGCUGAACUUAA